UACUUACUAAUAAAUGAGACUAAUUACUAGGAAAUCAAAUCAAAAUAGACAAUUUCGUAUUAAAUACAUAUUAAAUACCACACAAAUAAAUGAAAUAAAUACCUCGUUCUCAAAGUAUUGCUUUUAUAAAAUUUUGUAAGGAUUGUAGCGAAAACGAAAAAGUAGCGGUAAAACAUUUAAGUUGGUAACCCUGACGCCCCUUGUGACGCCACGACAAGCGAGCUGCGAGUGCGCCACCAGUCCGCCAUCUUUCUUACCUUUUUGAUUGUUGACUUGUAAAUUUUGUAAUUAGUUUUUGCCGACGUCCACCGUGCCGUUUUUUAAGUAAUUUUUGGUAUUUUACAAAUUGUGUUACUUUAGUGGACACGUGGAGACAUGGACGCUGACUGUUGGAAGAAUUCGUCAAUUCAGACUGGCGCAAAGAGCUAUCAGGGCGCGAUGCCAGGAAUUUCAUUGCGAGACAGAAUUCGAAAUGAGGAUAUUCGCCAACGCAAUAAAGUUACCGACAUUGCAAAAAGGAUUAACUCAAGUGGGAAUGGACCGGCUAUAUUUUUCGCAGAGAUGACGAUCAAUGGGGUCGCCUAGUAUUGCUGUGGAGACCUAGCCUGGGUGGCCGAGGUGGCGGGAAACCACGAGCAGAUGGUCGGAUGACAUCAAAAAACGGCAGGGCCCACCUGGCACUGGCACAGAACCGCCACAUAUAGAACGGAGUGGAAACCCACGGAAUGCAGACCAGGAUCAUAUACUUUAGGUAUGAGUUUGUUACUUUUGCUCAUAAUAACAUGGAGUAUGUCACAGCUGCUCCACGGGCUGCAUUGAAGGGCAACAGGAGCGAAAAUGGAAAGGAGCUCCCCCUUUCAAUUAGAGAAUCUUAGGAUAUGCUAAGGCAAACAGAAGGAGGCAAGGAACGGGACUGCAUCAAUUGCUGUUUGGAACCAAUCUUGUGGGAUGACUUCUGGACAGGGAAAAAACAAUUUCAUCAUCUACCCUAAUACUGACGAAUGUUCUAAAACGUGCUGUAAGGCAGACAUUUCCAAAUGUAACGGAGGAAAGUUUCGAGACAUGUAAUGGUUUCAACACGCU